CAUGCCCUCACGGAAGGAGGGGUGGGCAGAUCAUAGGACCUUAACCUGAAAGUCCAGCCAACCCCUCCUGACAUUUUUGUGCAGUUUGGCCUGACUGUACUUAGGAGGUGCCAGAGCGCCUAGGUGGGAAAGCUAACAGGGAUGAGUUCCUCGCAGUCAGGGUGGGGAGUAUCCUCCAUGCUCAGCACAGACCUUCCAAUUCUUAGACUUCAUUCAUGUUCUCAGUUCCCAGGGUUGCUUUAAUUUCCUCUCGGGAUAGGCUUCCACACACACCAGCAGUGACCAGCCACCAUACAGAUCACUUCAGGAUGGCUGUCACACGUCAGGAAUGCGAGGAAAUAAUCUCAACUGCGCAGUCACCGUCAUCCACAGGAGAUGUGUUCUGAGGCCACCAGAGGCUGGCUGAAGACGAGGAGAUUGCCUGCCAUCUGUCUAGAUGUGUGAUUACGUUUGGGGCACAGUAAAAGACUAGCCAAGGCGAUAAGAGAGACCAGUUAACGCGAUAUGCUGAGAGAAAGAGAAGUGGCUGUGGCCUCUCUGUUUCCGAGCAUCUUUCUCCACCACAGAAGCUCCUUCCUGGGUCAAGUUCUUGAGCACAGAAUGGCGCAGUUGUCCACCUACGAGCCAGGAUCAAGCUGGAAGAUGCACAAGCAUGAGCAAGUUUUGAGUGGAUGGAGUGUGUGCACGUGUGUGAGAGGGUGUGUGCCAUGGACCAGAGGAGGAUGUUGGCAGUUACUCCAUCUGUAUGCCUCCUCUCUCACUGAACCUGGAGCCAGGCAAGUGACUAGCAAACCUCAGCGACCUUCCUGUGCCCUCCCUUUGCAGCGCUGGGCUGGAGGUGAGCACGCAGUGCUCUCCCAGCUUCUUAUAUGGGUUCUGAAGAUGUGAACUCAGGUCCUCAAGCUUGUACACCAAGCGCUCUUCCCUGCUGGGUCAUCGCCCCAGCCCUGACGUGUGUUUUUAAAAAACAAUCCCCAAGAGUUCCUUUCCUUUCCGAUAAGUCUUUGAUUUUGCAAAUAUCCAUUUCCACCCCGCUGCGGCACUGUUGCUCCCUCCACGGUGCCUCCUGAUUAUUACAAACAGUGAUGGCCUUUGUCCAAGUUCCCAAUGUUUCCUUUAGUUAACACUUUGGUACGG